rnacentral:rRNA from 1 species
AUGUCGGCACCAACAUCCAUUCCCUGUGGUUCAAAGAGUGCGGGAGGCAACGGGAAUGGUGUCGACAGGCUCAGCAGCCUCUCAGACGAUCUGCUCCACCAUGUGAUGUCCUUCUUACCGAUGCCGGAGGUCGUGCGCACAAGUCUUCUCUCACCAAGAUGGCGCUUUCUUUGGUGCUCUACACCAUUCAUCCGCAUCGACGGCGAAGACUUUGUGGAUCAAUGCAAGCUGGAGAAGUUCGGGGACCGCUUGCUGCUCUUGCGUGACGGUACCAUUUCCUUGGAUGAAGCCCGAAUCCAUGCCUACCGUGCUGAUAGUGCCACGUGUUCCGCAUGGAUUCGUCAUGCCAUUAUGCACAAAGUUCGUCUCCUUCAUAUUUCUGGAUUUCUCCGCUUGGAUAGCACAGCAAUGUUUCCUUCUCGGCACCUCAAAAUAAUCAGGCUGCAAUCUGUCACGUUGAAACAUGGGUUAUUUAGGCCGUUGAACUACGACUGCCCUGUUCUUGAACAUUUAGAGCUGGAGUUGUGCAGUGUCUGUGGCCAUGAGGAGAUCUCAUCAAGCUCACUCAAGGUUCUGGAUAUCAGUCACUGCCUCAUUAUCUCCAGUCUCCUGAUUUGUGCUAGGAACCUUACCCAUAUCUCUAUCCUUCACCCAUAUGCUGGUGCUAUAGUAAUUAGGGAUCUGUCUUCUCUGGUGACAGCUUUGAUUAAUCUAAGGUCUAAAUCUUUUCAUCAUAUGGGCACAGUAAUGGAUCAUCAUCUACUUGAUGGCCUUCCGCAUGCCACAACGUUGGAGCUGCAUGCGCCAUUACAUGAGCGCGCAUUUGAGGGAGGUUUGCUAACAUGCCCAACGUUUAGCAACCUGACAAGCUUGGUGCUGGGCGAUUGGGUCAUGACUGCUGACUUCUACCCAUUGCACCGCAUUCUCCAGCUCUCAGACAAGCUGAAGGAGCUAACUUUGAAGCUCGAAAUGGAGGAAUGCAGCACAUGCAAAGCCUUGCCGCCAACAAGGAGAGCGCCGCCGUCGGCCUCAGGCAGCUACCCUUGCAUCGAGAGGAUCAAAAUCUACUGCCGAGAAGAACAUCCGAGGGUUGAUGAGUUGGUGCAGGCGUUGCUGCCCAUUGCCGGCAAUGCGAAGAUCAGCAUCGAGUGGCCCUGA